GACGACCGCUGGCGGCGUGCUUAACACAUGCAAGUCGAACAGAAAGGCCCUGCUUUUGUGGGGUGCUCGAGUGGCGAACGGGUGAGUAACACGUGAGUAACCUGCCCUUUACUUUGGGAUAACUUCAGGAAACUGGGGCUAAUACCGGAUAGGAGCUCCUGCUGCAUGGUGGGGGUUGGAAAGUUUCGGCGGUUGGGGAUGGACUCGCGGCUUAUCAGCUUGUUGGUGGGGUAGUGGCUUACCAAGGCUUUGACGGGUAGCCGGCCUGAGAGGGUGACCGGCCACAUUGGGACUGAGAUACGGCCCAGACGCCUACGGGAGGCAGCAGUGGGGAAUAUUGCACAAUGGGCGGAAGCCUGAUGCAGCAACGCCGCGUGCGGGAUGACGGCCUUCGGGUUGUAAACCGCUUUCGCCUGUGACGAAGCGUGAGUGACGGUAAUGGGUAAAGAAGCACCGGCUAACUACGUG
rnacentral:rRNA from 1 species